rnacentral:rRNA from 1 species
UUGUUGGUAAGGUAAAAGCUUACCAAGGCUUCGAUCAGUAGCUGGUCUGAGAGGACGACCAGCCACACUGGGACUGAGACACGGCCCAGACUCCUACGGGAGGCAGCAGUGGGGAAUUUUGGACAAUGGGGGCAACCCUGAUCCAGCCAUGCCGCGUGAGUGAAGAAGGCCUUCGGGUUGUAAAGCUCUUUCAGCCGGAACGAAACGGUUACGGAUAACACCCGUGACUACUGACGGUACCGGAAGAAGAAGCACCGGCUAACUACGUGCCAGCAGCCGCGGUAAUACGUAGGGUGCGAGCGUUAAUCGGAAUUACUGGGCGUAAAGCGUGCGCAGGUGGUUUUGUAAGUCAGAUGUGAAAGCCCCGGGCUCAACCUGGGAACUGCGUUUGAAACUACAAGACUAGAGUGUGGCAGAGGGGGGUGGAAUUCCGCGCGUAGCAGUGAAAUGCGUAGAGAUGUGGAGGAACACCGAUGGCGAAGGCAGCCCCCUGGGUCAACACUGACGCUCAGGCACGAAAGCAUGGGGAGCAAACAGGAUUAGAUACCCUGGUAGUCCAUGCCCUAAACGAUGUCAACUAGUUGUCGGGCCUUUACGGGCUUGGUAACGUAGCUAACGCGUGAAGUUGACCGCCUGGGGAGUACGAUCGCAAGAUUAAAACUCAAAUGAAUUGACGGGGACCCGCACAAGCGGUGGAUUAUGUGGAUUAAUUCGAUGCAACGCGAAAAACCUUACCUACCCUUGACAUGUAUCGAAGCCCGCAGAAAAGCGGGGGUGCCCGAAAGGGAACGAUAACACAGGUGCUGCAUGGCUGUCGUCAGCUCGUGUCGUGAGAUGUUGGGUUAAGUCCCGCAACGAGCGCAACCCUUGUCAUUAAUUGCCAUCAUUUAGUUGGGCACUUUAAUGAGACUGCCGG